GAGGCGGUAUCGUUUUGCGAACUGUACUCUUGAUCUGAUGAACUUAUAAUGGUUUUAUUAAUGGAAUCACCUUCAUAACUGCGUUAGACGGUUACGUUGGAUUCUGCUCUGAGCCGUAAGGACCGAGACAGAAGG
rfam:Paenibacillus sp. FSL H7-0737, complete genome.